CGGGGUGCAGCAGGCGCGAAAACUCUACAAUGCAGGCAACUGCGAUAGGGGAACAUCGAGUGAUCCUCAUAUUGGGGGUCCGUCCACUCGCCUAAAAAGCGGGUGUUAGCAAGGGCCGGGCAAGACCGGUGCCAGCCGCCGCGGUAAUACCGGCGGCUCGAGUGGUGGCCGAUAUUAUUGAGUCUAAAGGGUCCGUAGCCGGCUUUGCAAGUCUCUCGGGAAAUCCAGCGGCUUAACCGUUGGUCGUCCGGGGGGUACUACAUUGCUUGGGACUGGGAGAGGUAGGAGGUACUCAGGGGGUAGGAGUGAAAUCCUGUAAUCCUUUGGGGACCACCGGUGGCGAAGGCGUCCUACCAGAACAGGUCCGACGGUGAGGGACGAAAGCUAGGGGCACGAACCGGAUUAGAUACCCGGGUAGUCCUAGCCGUAAACGAUGCUCGCUAGGUGUCACAACAGUCGUGAACUGUUGUGGUGCCGUAGGGAAGCCGUGAAGCGAGCCACUUGGGAAGUACGACCGCAAGGUUGAAACUUAAAGGAAUUGGCGGGGGAGCACAAGGGCGAAUU
rnacentral:rRNA from 1 species